GCAGUAGCCGCGGGAAUACGUAGGUCCCGAGCGUUGUCCGGAUUUAUUGGGCGUAAAGCGAGCGCAGGCGGUUAGAUAAGUCUGAAGUUAAAGGCUGUGGCUUAACCAUAGUACGCUUUGGAAACUGUUUAACUUGAGUGCAAGAGGGGAGAGUGGAAUUCCAUGUGUAGCGGUGAAAUGCGUAGAUAUAUGGAGGAACGCCGGUGGCGAAAGCGGCCCUCUGGCUUGUAACUGACGCUGAGGCUCGAAAGCGUGGGGAGCAAACAGGAUUAGAGACCCCAGUAGUCCCUGUCUCUUAUACC
rnacentral:rRNA from 1 species